GACGAACGCUGGCGGCGUGCCUAAUACAUGCAAGUAGGACGCAGUUGCGAACGGGUGAGUAACGCGUAGGUAACUACCUAUUAGAGGGGGAUAACUAUUGGAAACGAUAGCUAAUACCGCAUCCUAGUAGAUGGACCUUCGUUGUAUUAGCUAGUAGGUAGGGUAAUGGCCUACCUAGGCAACGAUACAUAGCCGACGUGGGAAGGGGAUCGGACAAAAUGGGACGUGGACAAGGGCCAGAAUCCUACGGGAGGGCGAAGGAGGGAAUCAUCGGAAAUGGGGGGCACCCUGGACGAGAAAAGCCGGGGGAGUGAAGAAGGUUUUCCGGGCGUAAAGGUCUGUUGUGAAGGAAGCGGUACUUAACCAGAAAGGGACGGCUAACUACGUGCCAGCAGCCGCGGUAAUUC
rnacentral:rRNA from 1 species